AAGUCGUAACAAGGUUUCCGUAGGUGAACCUGCGGAAGGAUCAUUAAUACGUACUUUCACGUAUCACUCAAUCGUGGACUUGUCCCGCUUUUUGUGGAGAGUUGGAGGCGAAAUUUGUGGUCAUGUUUUACCAGCGUGGGGGAGGGACUAAGCUUAACGGCUUUUUUUCUCUUUGACCUGUUCGCCGAGGGUUAAUAAAUCGAACGCCAACUUUUGAUCGGAAAGACAAGUGCAGCUUGUUCUGCAUGCAUCUCCUGGUCGGAGUUGUUCGAUUCGACUCUUUACAAAGCGUUUUUUCUUAAUCCAUGCUGGGAAUCAAUUAUUUUUACCCCAAGUACUAUUAUCAAGAACUAAUUGUGUUUUUUCUGCUUCAUUGCGGAGAAAACGCCAAAUACCGAAACUUAAGAACAACUCUUAACAACGGAUAUCUUGGUUCUC
rnacentral:misc_RNA from 1 species